CUUGAUGUGCACCUAAGGAAAGAGAGAUUAAUGUCCUGAGAAUAGGAAGAUCAUUUCCAGUUCUUUUCUAUCAUUCCAGAUUGAAAGACUGGUAGGGAGAGAAUGGUAAAUAAUCAAGAAUUCACAGAUGAUGCUUUGAAUGCAGGGUGGGUUUCUGUGCUGGUUUUAGACAGGGUCUCAAGUAUCACAUGUUGCCCUCUACAUGGCUGGCCAGGUUCACUUUGAGCUCAGAUGAACCUCCUUCCACUUUCCAAUAAAUAGGCUUACAAGAGUGGCCUCCAAGGACUGUGAGGACAGCAUUAGCCUUUGACAGUUGAGGUGUGCAACCCACAACUAUAGUUUUAGCAACCUUUUUUCAUGUCUACCAGCUAUUUCAGAUUGUUGCUGUUCUAUGCCUGACAAUCAAGGACGCAGAAAAAUAACCAGAUAGAGAGCAAGGACAUGGUGAUCACAUCCUUGCCUCUUCUGUACGUUCUGGAUGAGGUUUGUUAAAAUUCCAAUAUUGAAAAAGCUUUAUAUAGGGCCCAUCACAUUAAGGGUCACUGUGCACUGUUCUAUCUAAAAUGGUCUAAUCAGAACUGACUAACAUAUAACACUUCCUGCAGUCCUCAUAUGAGAAGCUUGAGCUUUUUGCUUUGACUUUUUCUUUUCUCUUUACUUCUUAUUUUUUGCUAUAUAAGUUGAGAGAAAGAUAGUUAGGGCCAUGAAUUUGCCCCCAAAAUUUGAACUACGGAUGUGAUCAAUCAGUGUUAAUGUGUAAAUUCUAUACAGUAUUCAUUUUUUACUAUGAUAGAUGCUUUUGUGUUUGGUGUGGUGGAUAUUUCCCAGUGUACAGGUGCUGGGACCUUACUCUAUCCACUUAAUGAUGUUUAUAGCUUCAUUUUAGACGUUUAUGUGCACCCCCUAUAUCUCUUGACUAUUUUAUUUUUCUGACAGAAGCUCUUGGUAUAUCUUACUCAGGCUUGUGAGCAGUGCUCCUUUGGCGACAUUGGUGCAGAGAGGAGAACCCCACAAGCAGAAUGAGGUUCCCUUCACUGGUGGCUCCAAUUUGCACUUUCCUCUGCCAACUGGUCUCCACACUUUGCCUUGCACUUUAAAGACAUCAACUCUUUCUCCUAAGGAAUUUCUUCGCAAUUGUCGAUUGCUAAGCACAUGACUUCAUGAGUGUUCCCCUAAUACACACGCAUGUUGUAACCUACCAUGCAGACUAUUUCUUGAUGUGAUUUAAAGCACCUGUACAUAAUGAGACAGGAGAACUUUUGAGUGCAUAUUCAAGCUGGUGUGAAAUCUCAGGAAGGUUUAAUGGCUAACAUUGGUGAAUGAGGACAAUUUGAGUUAGGAUGAGACAUUUUUGGGCAAGAUAUGAAAAGAAACAUUCAUUUAGAUGCAUAGGGAUUACUAAGGUUUUUUAUAAUCAAGCCUUGAGGAAAAUUUGGCUUUGGGAGCAGGAGAUGCUCAGUGGCUCUCCCCAGGAAAGUCUCCUGGAAAGGGCACCUCUGCUUAUGCUCAGUACAGGGAGAACAUUAGCAGGGAGGCAAAGUCUGCUCCCCAUGACAUCAGCUGUCCCUUCUAUGACACUCUAUUGUCUCCUAGAGAGUUCUGGCAUCCUCUGUGAUGUCACCAGUGUUGGAGUGACAACCAGUGCCCUAGUUUCUCUCAGACUGAGUCUGGUGGUUACACCCUAAGACAUGUUUUCCUGUCUUCACAACCGUUUUGGGAGGGGGAACGUUGAUUGUGGAGAGACUAGAGUGAAGGAGUCUGGCCUUUUCUCAAAGUAAUGAUGGACAAAGACAGCACUUCUGGGGAAUGUUUAGCCUCACUGUGGUCUAUGAACACUCUAUGCAUCGGGCCAAGAAGGAAAAGGAGAGGCUGAUUGAAGAGCUGCAGCUCAUUACCGAGGAGAGAAAUGACCUGAGAGAUCACCUGAGGUUUCUGACAGAGAGAUCCAUGAAGAACGGGGAUGAAUCGCUCCAAAUUCUCUUGUUUCAUUCCUGGGACUGCAAGGUCACCUUCAUCUUAUCCUAUUAAGGUUUUGGGUUCUAGAAAGCUGUGCCUCCCUAACCACCCUGUGCUAAACCUCACCUCCCAUAUAGAGGAGAUUCAGAACCUGACCCUGAGGAUUGAGAUGGAAAUUGGACUCAUCUGCUUCCAUUUAUUGAAAAGCAGAUCUUGUGGUCUGAAUGAAGAAUUCAGGGAUAAAGUCAGGGAGAGUGAGUUCCCAGUGUGCAUUUGCAAAGCCCUUGACAGCUGGUUGCUUUGCAAGAUUGUAAUUGCAGUGAGUUUAUGGUGAGUCUCUAUACUUGCUAGGCAGGGGACUGAGUGCUGGAAGAUCCAGGCAGCAGCCUGAGGGGCCUGAUCCCAAACUGUUCAUCUCAAUGCUUGACUAGAAGGUCUCAGGCUCAGGCCUGUUUGUUAUUGUCUGUGUGUCUUGCCCUCUGAGACAGCAAUGGUGCAUGCAUUUCUCCUGGUUCUCACAGUGCUCUCUGUUUCCAUAUUUGUCUUUCUCUGACUCUGUUUACAUUUCACUUUUUUGUGGGUGUGUCUUAGUCUGUGAGUCUGUGUGUGCAUACAUCCAAAUGCAUAUGGACAAUUUUUAAAUGUUUAUAUUUCCCUCCACAUUGGAAUCUAGGGGUCUAUGUCUUGGCCUGAGUAUUUACUUGUAACACCUUCAUGGUGAUGUGAAUGCCUUGUUCUGGGAGCCCCACUGUCAACAACACAGUUCUUUGUCUAUGUGACCACGUUUGUAUGUUUAUUUUUAUUCUUUGUGUAGAUUAUAAUUUUGUGUUGAUAUAAGGUCUUUUAUCAAAACAGGAGAAAAGAAAUCACAGGUUUCUGGCUGUGUUGGGGUGGGGAGCAUGGAGAGGUGUGGCCUAGGCUCUUGAUAGCUCAACUGGCUUGACUGCAGAUUUCCUCUUGAUUGAACAAAGGCAGCCAGGGCAGCCUCCAUCUGGAUGCUGAGAUUCUGGUGUCCUGGACGCAGAAAAACACGUUUCUGAAUCUGAAGAAGAUCUAAUAUGUAGAAUUCAGAAGGUGUCCUUCCAGGACUGGGGUAGUACAGGACCCACCCUGAGUUCAUAUAUUCCUAAAUGCUGAUGUUCAUUGGAAUCUAUCAUUUGGGGCCAGGCCACACUUCAGGCCAAAUCCAUAUUAUGAAGACCUGGAGAGAAUGGAGGAGGCGGUCAUGUCAAUUCUGCACAACUUAGAGAUGGAGAACACUGAGAUCCAUGAGAACAGCCAUAAGCUGAAGAAGGAGAUGACCUUCUCUAGGUAAGUCCUGGUCAGAAAGGCUAUCACCUGUGGAAUGGCCAUUUCUGAUUUCUUUGUUCUGGAUUGGACAGUCUUCAGCUAUGAUUCUAUCUCUUGUGCUGUUUACACAUCAGUGUGCCAGGGUCAUUAGGACUCAGUUUUCAGUUCCACAAAAGACUGUUACUCAUCCCAGGAUUGUCUAGGCAUCUUCAGAAGGCUCUAGAUAGAACAGCAUUGAUUGAAGUCAGCAGAAGGUUAUUAGGCUGACCUGGACCUCUGGGGUCACACCAGGUUUUACAAAACUCAGUGUGUGGACCACAUGGUUAGCAUGACCUUCUCUUGUUUCUACUGACCUCCUUUGAGGGUGUUGGCCCACUGCUAAUUUAUGUUGCCCCCAUGCAUUGGGCUUUCAUGGAUAGAUGUAGAUCCGUGUUCUUUUUGAGAGAUGUGGACACUAAUUGGUGCUCAGGCCAAACAAACAAUUUAUUCUUCCCCGAAUUAACUCUUUGUGGUUUGUGGAGCAGCCUUAUAUGUAUCGAGAUGUAUUUUAUUAUGUCUUCAUGGGUAUCUGGGACCUGGUAGAGUUAGUGGGACUUGGGAGUAGGAAUGGGAGAAAGGGGCAGCAUGAUCUUACUAUGCAGACUGUAUUUCCAGAAACCUGCUCAGCCAGCUCCUGAUGGAGAACACAUGCAGGAAGAAGUUGGUCCCACUGAAGCAGGGGAGCAGGGAGGGACAUCUUGAGUGUGCACUGAACCAGAAAUAUUUGGUUGACUUCAACAAGAAAGAUAAAGACCCAGCAUCAUCUGGUCUCAGAAAGUGCAAGAGAGCUGGAAUUGGACACACCCCAGUAAGAGAGCUUCCUGAAGAAUAAGUUGCUUUCUCAGGAGUCCCUGAUGUCUAACAUCCUGAAUGAAAACACCACUUGAGAGACACCUUGGGAGACCGCCUUUCAUUACGUGUGCUAGAAGAGACACAGCAAUACAUCUGUGCUUCUACAUGUUCGUUAAAAAUAUGCAGUUUAGAAAUAUUUUUGUUAUGAUUUUAAUUGAAGUUUUUUUGUUGUUUCCUAUUUAUAUGUUCUUGUUACUAUUUUUCACUUUCAAAUAUUUUUAAAUAUUUUUAUUCAUUUUAAUCCUGUUUUGUUGGAAAAAAUGUAUUUGUUAUGAAUAAAAAUUGAAUUCUA